GACGAACGCUGGCGGCGUGCUUAACACAUGCAAGUCGAACGGAAAGGCCCUGCUUUUGUGGUGUGCUCGAGUGGCGAACGGGUGAGUAACACGUGAGUAACCUGCCCUUGACUUUGGGAUAACUUCAGGAAACUGGGGCUAAUACCGGAUAGGAGCUCCUGCUGCAUUGUGUGGGUUGGAAAGUUUCGGCGGUUGGGGAUGGACUCGCGGCUUAUCAGCUUGUUGGUGGGUUAGUGGCUUACCAAGGCUUUGACGGGUAGCCGGCCUGAGAGGGUGACCGGCCACAUUGGGACUGAGAUACGGCCCAGACUCCUACGGGAGGCAGCAGUGGGGAAUAUUGCACAAUGGGCGGAAGCCUGAUGCAGCAACGCCGCGUGCGGGAUGACGGCCUUCGGGUUGUAAACCGCUUUCGCCUGUGACGAAGCGUGAGUGACGGUAAUGGGUAAAGAAGCACCAGCUAACUACGUG
rnacentral:rRNA from 1 species